AUCACUUCUCAGCCUUUUGGCUAAGAUCAAGUGAAGUAUCUGUUCUUAGCAGUUUAAAACAAAGACAAUAAUAAGAGACAAAUAAGGCCACUAAAUAAUAAUAAAAGGUACAAUCCAA
rnacentral:snRNA from 1 species